rnacentral:rRNA from 1 species
UACGUAGGGGGCAAGCGUUGUCCGGAUUUAUUGGGCGUAAAGCGCGCGCAGGCGGUCCUUUAAGUCUGAUGUGAAAUCUUGCGGCUUAACCGUAAGCGGUCAUUAGAAACUGGAGGACUUGAGUGCAGAAGAGGAGAGUGGAAUUCCACGUGUAGCGGUGAAAUGCGUAGAGAUGUGGAGGAACACCAGUGGCGAAGGCGACUUUCUGGUCUGUAACUGACGCUGAGGCGCGAAAGCGUGGGGAGCAAACAGG